CCCAGACUCCUACGGGAGGCAGCAGUGAGGAAUAUUGGUCAAUGGGCGCAAGCCUGAACCAGCCAAGUCGCGUGAGGGAUGACGGCCCUACGGGUUGUAAACCUCUUUUGUCGGGGAGCAAAUUCCGUUACGUGUAACGGAGUCGAGAGUACCCGAAGAAAAAGCAUCGGCUAACUCCGUGCCAGCAGCCGCGGUAAUACGUAGGGUGCAAGCGUUAUCCGGAUUUAUUGGGCGUAAAGGGCUCGUAGGCGGUUCGUCGCGUCCGGUGUGAAAGUCCAUCGCUUAACGGUGGAUCCGCGCCGGGUACGGGCGGGCUUGAGUGCGGUAGGGGAGACUGGAAUUCCCGGUGUAACGGUGGAAUGUGUAGAUAUCGGGAAGAACACCAAUGGCGAAGGCAGGGCUCUGGGCCGUUACUGACGCUGAGGAGCGAAAGCGUGGGGAGCGAACAGGAUUAGAUACCCCAGUAUAC
rnacentral:rRNA from 1 species